GUGAAUCAUCGAAUCUUUGAACGCAAAUUGCACUCUCCUCGGAGAGUAUGCCUGUUUUAGGGGCAUCCUAUAAAAAAUCGACAGCGUUGCUGUUUCGCGGUGGCGGUCGUCGGAAAUUGGAUCAUCUUAAAGCUGUUUGUUUUAGGCGACUUAAAAUUUUCUUUUUUGUUCCAUGAACGGUGCUAAGAUUUAUUUCUUUACACUGUUAUGGUAUCGAUUGUUAUUACACGUGACCAUCAUAG
rnacentral:misc_RNA from 1 species